rnacentral:rRNA from 1 species
AGCAGCCGCGGUAAUUCCAGCUCCAAUAGCGUAUAUUAAAGUUGUUGUGGUUAAAAAGCUCGUAGUUGAACCUUGGGCCUGGCUGGCCGGUCCGCCUCACCGCGUGUACUGGUCCGGCCGGGCCUCUCCCUCUGUGAAACCCCAUGCCCUUCACUGGGUGUGGCGGGGAAACAGGACUUUUACUUUGAAAAAAUUAGAGUGCUCCAGGCAGGCCUAUGCUCGAAUACAUUAGCAUGGAAUAAUAGAAUAGGACGUGUGGUUCUAUUUUGUUGGUUUCUAGGACCGCCGUAAUGAUUAAUAGGGACAGUCGGGGGCAUCAGUAUUCAAUUGUCAGAGGUGAAAUUCUUGGAUUUAUUGAAGACUAACUACUGCGAAAGCAUUUGCCAAGGAUGUUUUCAUUAAUCAGGAACGAAAGUUAGGGGAUCGAAGACGAUCAGAUACCGUGUAGUC